rnacentral:rRNA from 1 species
AUUGAACGCUGGCGGCAGGCCUAACACAUGCAAGUCGAGCGGAAACGACACUAACAAUCCUUCGGGUGCGUUAAUGGGCGUCGAGCGGCGGACGGGUGAGUAAUGCCUAGGAAAUUGCCUUGAUGUGGGGGAUAACCAUUGGAAACGAUGGCUAAUACCGCAUAAUGCCUACGGGCCAAAGAGGGGGAUCUUCGGACCUCUCGCGUCAAGAUAUGCCUAGGUGGGAUUAGCUAGUUGGUGAGGUAAUGGCUCACCAAGGCGACGAUCCCUAGCUGGUCUGAGAGGAUGAUCAGCCACACUGGAACUGAGACACGGUCCAGACUCCUACGGGAGGCAGCAGUGGGGAAUAUUGCACAAUGGGCGAAAGCCUGAUGCAGCCAUGCCGCGUGUAUGAAGAAGGCCUUCGGGUUGUAAAGUACUUUCAGUUGUGAGGGAGGGGGUGUAGUUAAUAGCUGCAUCUCUUGACGUUAGCAACAGAAGAAGCACCGGCUAACUCCGUGCCAGCAGCCGCGGUAAUACGGAGGGUGCGAGCGUUAAUCGGAAUUACUGGGCGUAAAGCGCAUGCAGGUGGUUCAUUAAGUCAGAUGUGAAAGCCCGGGGCUCAACCUCGGAACUGCAUUUGAAACUGGUGAACUAGAGUGCUGUAGGAGGGGGGUAGAAUUUCA